rnacentral:rRNA from 1 species
UCGAGAAUCUUCGUCAAUGGGCGAAAGCCUGAACGAGCGACGCCGCGUGCGGGAUGAAGGCCCUUGGGUUGUAAACCGCUGUCGAGGGGGAUGAAGGCUUGAAGGUACUCCUUCAAGUUUGACAGAGCCCUGGAGGAAGCACGGGCUAAGUUCGUGCCAGCAGCCGCGGUAAUACGAACUGUGCGAACGUUAUUCGGAAUCACUGGGCUUACAGGGUGCGUAGGCGGCUAUUCAGGUCAGGUGUGAAAGCCCUCGGCUCAACCGAGGAACUGCGCUUGAAACCGGAUGGCUCGAGUCAACUAGAGGUGCACGGAACUUCCAGUGGAGCGGUGAAAUGUGUUGAUAUUGGAAGGAACACCGGAGGCGAAAGCGGUGCACUGGGGUUGGUCUGACGCUGAGGCACGAAAGCCAGGGGAGCGAACG